CCUACGGGAGGCAGCAGUGGGGAAUAUUGGACAAUGGGGGGAACCCUGAUCCAGCGACGCCGCGUGAGUGAAGAAGUAUUUCGGUAUGUAAAGCUCUAUCAGCAGGGAAGAAAGAAAUGACGGUACCUGACUAAGAAGCCCCGGCUAACUACGUGCCAGCAGCCGCGGUAAUACGUAGGGGGCAAGCGUUAUCCGGAUUUACUGGGUGUAAAGGGAGCGUAGACGGCGAUGCAAGUCUGAAGUGAAAGGCGGGGGCCCAACCUCCGGACUGCUUUGGAAACUGUAUGGCUGGAGUGCAGGAGAGGUAAGUGGAAUUCCUAGUGUAGCGGUGAAAUGCGUAGAGAUUAGGAGGAACACCAGUGGCGAAGGCGGCUUACUGGACUGUAACUGACGUUGAGGCUCGAAAGCGUGGGGAGCAAACAGGAUUAGAUACCCGGGUAGUC
rnacentral:rRNA from 1 species